rnacentral:rRNA from 1 species
GACGAACCGUACGAACGUUAUUCGGAAUCACUGGGCUUAAAGGGUGCGUAGGCUGCGCGGAAAGUUGGGUGUGAAAUCCCUCGGCUCAACCGAGGAACUGCGCCCAAAACUGCCGUGCUCGAGGGAGACAGAGGUGAGCGGAACUUAGGGUGGAGCGGUGAAAUGCGUUGAUAUCCUAAGGAACACCGGUGGCGAAAGCGGCUCACUGGGUCUCUUCUGACGCUGAGGAGCGAAAGCGUGGGGAGCGAACAGG